GCAUCCCGUGAUUCCUCUGUGUGUCAAGCAUUUUCCCUCCAGAGCCUUCCAGCAGCUGUGGGCUGUGCCUGGGAGAACUCAGCCUUCUCAACUCAUGGUGUCAGCAGAAUGUCAGCUCCUUUGAAAGGCCUACUGGUUUAACCCAUUCUCCUCCCAACCACACUCCUACCACUCUCAAGCAUUGCCCUCAAUCAAUUUCAUUACAGCACUUGUCACAAUUUAUAAUUGCAUGUGUCUGUCUUUGUUCUCUUAUUUAUGCCUGUGGUAAAAGUACAGGACUCAUAUCUGGUUAAAUCACCUUUGUAUGACUUCUGAAUGUAGCUGUGGAAUAAUAAUGACCAGUACUUAGUAGGUAUUGAACAAAUAUUUGUGAAUGAAUUCAGUUUCAUGGCUUAUCAUUUAUAUGUCUCACCACAGGUCACUUAGCUACCUAAGAGUUAGUUGCUUUAUUUGUACAUUGAGAAAACUGGAUAAGUGCUUUUAAAUGCCCUGCACAGUAGCUGGCAAAGAGUGAGCCUUCCUGAAACAAUAGCUCUCAUGAUGAAGUAUAUUAUGGGAUGGAAAGCUCAUGCCAAACUCUCAUCUGCAUCUUGUGAACAGAUAGUUUGCUGUUGUAAUGAGUGAUGUUGGAAAGAGCACAGUGCCGGACAUGUAAUGGAUGCUGGAUGAAUGUCAGAUCUCAUGGACAUGCCAAGCCAGCAACAAUUCUGAGAAGGUAUCCCAAUGUGUAAAGAUAAUGUUGACUAGAGUCUUGGGGACAAAGAAGUUGGUAUGCCAGUUCCUGGGUCACAGACCAUGACUGUAUGGCAGAACUCAAGAGAAAGACUGUCCAUCACAGAUUUUAGUUACUUCCUGGGAAGAGCAUAUGGAUAUAGCCUCCAAAGCCUGCACCUUCCACCAACUGAUGUUCAACAUUUUUGAGAGCCACUUUCACCUGCCUGCCUUCUUGAUACAGAGCCUAAGUGUGCAGUUGUUCGACAGGCAGCAUGGCGGUGACAUGGUGGCAAGUCCCAUCUUUCCUGAGCAGAUGAAUCACCUAAGCUGAGCAUGUGGAUCUCACCCCUGUAUGCCAUGACUGACAUAGGAAAGGAUCCAUAACACGGUAACACCCAGUGAGACCUACAAGAGUAAGAGGCUUCAGGAAAAGGUUAAACAUCCAACCUUUCCACACCUAGGAGACUACUUAAGCCACGGUGUCUGAAGCUGUCAAGGGUCACACUAUGGCUGCAGAAUAGAGAGACAAAAGUGCCGGGUCUGAGAAAGUAUGGAUCCAUUUAACCAAACUUGAGCCUGUCUCUACUUCCUGUUUUCCUGGCAAAAACUUCUACAAGAGUAUGGCUAAUUGUUGUUUUUAUUGUUUGCACCAGGACUUAUCCUAACCAGUCUUACUGGCUGCUGCCUGGUAAUGGAAUGACUUCAAGGAUAUGUUCUUGUUCCAUUUUAUUUUUAAGAUCAGUUCAGAGACAGGUGUGAUGGUGCACACCUGUAAUCCAACUUCUUAGGAGGCUGAAGCAGGAGGAGCUUGAGUUUAAGGGCAGGGUGGAUUAUGUAACAAGAAUGAUGUCAGCCCGGGCUGUACAGUAAUACCCUGUCUCAAAAUAACAGCAACAGCAAUGCAGUCUGUCCAGGAGAUACUCUACAUCCUCCUGUAAGAAUGAAUCAUUCUUGCUGUGUUGUGGGUGAUCCAGAGAAAACAAGUUAUGGGAGGUGAGUUGGAGUGGAUAAACUACAAGGCUGUGCAAACAAUGAGCUUCUUUAAUACCACAGUAGGUAUAAUCUUUAUGAGCAUCACAUUUGCUAGGAUUCAAGUAGCCACUCCACCAUUACUAGCUGUGUGACCUUGAAAUAAUACUUCAGCUUCUGUUUCCUCACUGGUAGUAUUGAGGUUAUUUGAAUAAGAAGUGAAUGAGCAUAAAGUAUCUCAUGCAAAUUAAAGCCUUGUUAUAUAUUUGUAAUAAUCCUGUGUAACCAUUGUAUUUCCUUUGCUAUCAGGUGACCGUUACCUAUUUAAAGUGGAAACUAUCAAGGAGAAGUGAUCCAUCAGUCACAAAUUUAGUGACAAACAGAAACACUUGACCUAGUACACAGAAGAGAGAUUUAUUAGGGGCUAGUUGAAAAGUCAUAAAAUGACUGAGAGGGUGAAAGGUUAUGCUUCCAGGAGUAAGACUUAAUCACACUGCAGAAAUACCUGGUGGAGACACAGUGUCUGCACAGACAGGCAAAGUCACCAGCUCCAUGAAUGGACAUAGGGUCUUGUGGUCAUCUUUAAUGCCUCUGUCUCAGGUACCUCUAGGAAUGGGUAACCCAUGACCACCAUUGACAGACUGGGCUUCAUGGAAACCCUUCUUGAUGUCAUUAAUCUCCAAAUAAAUCCUAGUAUCUACUGAAUGGAGCCCUGUGU
rnacentral:lncRNA from 1 species